UGGGGAAUUUUGGACAAUGGGCGAAAGCCUGAUCCAGCAAUGCCGCGUGUGUGAAGAAGGCCUUCGGGUUGUAAAGCACUUUUGUCCGGAAAGAAAUCCUUGGCUCUAAUACAGUCGGGGGAUGACGGUACCGGAAGAAUAAGCACCGGCUAACUACGUGCCAGCAGCCGCGGUAAUACGUAGGGUGCAAGCGUUAAUCGGAAUUACUGGGCGUAAAGCGUGCGCAGGCGGUUUGCUAAGACCGAUGUGAAAUCCCCGGGCUCAACCUGGGAACUGCAUUGGUGACUGGCAGGCUAGAGUAUGGCAGAGGGGGGUAGAAUUCCACGUGUAGCAGUGAAAUGCGUAGAGAUGUGGAGGAAUACCGAUGGCGAAGGCAGCCCCCUGGGCCAAAUACUGACGCUCAUGCACGAAAGCGUGGGGAGCAAAACAGGAUUAGAUACCCUGGUAGUCCACGCCCUAAAACGACGUCAACUAGUUGUUGGGGAUUCAUUUCCUUAGUAACGUAGCUAACGCGUGAAGUUGACCGCCUGGGGAGUACGGUCGCAAGAUUAAAACUCAAAUGAAUUGACGGGGUCAUAGCUGUUUCCU
rnacentral:rRNA from 1 species